rnacentral:lncRNA from 10 species
GCAUCUGCUGUGGAUGGGGCAGAGAUAUUUCUCUGCUGCUGCAAGCUGUCUCUGGCUUUGGAGAUCCCCACAAGAAAUAACUAAACGAGCAUCAAAGGCAGAAGAUACUGGAUAGGAGAUAGUGCUAACAUGUACCUCCUACUUGGAUGGACAGUAUGGCAUGUGAAGAUUCAUACUGUGGACUUUUGCUCCAAGAACCACUGCAGGACCAUACCAGGAAAACCUAAAGAAUUCACAGAUCUUUGAAAGAAGCACAAGUCACUGCAGAUUGCAUGAGACAGAUGAACAACUAUGAGUUUCCAUAGUCUGAAAGGGGGAAAACCUGCCUUCAAACACGUAUUCCCGCUGAGGAAUCUGAAAAUACAGAUCACCAGAGAAGGAUUUAACCUUAUCUAGAGCUGGAAUGGAUUUAGGGAGCUGUGCAAAAUAUAAAAGUAAAUGCAACAGUGGGAAGAGCCUUGUAGGCACUCCCAUUCUUCACCUUGUGCGCAGGGAAGCCAUUUCUGAUUGUAUUUCACAGAAGCCCUCAGGGAAGGCACUCAGCAGAAUUAGGGAAGGGUCACAGGGUGUAAGAAGUUUCCAACUGAAUUUUGCAAUAAUUUUAACUGGGCACUAACUUUUUUGACAGGAUAUGGGGGUGAAUGGGAACUGCUGCAAAUACAAGAGCUGGAGUCACAGCCAACUUUGUUGGCAGAUGGGGAGGGGCAAGGCCUGAAAGCAGUGCUUGCUUGCUAAGUGGGGUAGUUUAUGGCCUGAGGCAACGUCUGAGUUUCAGGAGAGCAAGCUGCCUGGAUCUAAACUUGGCACUGUUAGUAGUGUGUCCAGAAUUGGUGGGUUCUUUGUCUCACUGAUUUCAAGAAUGAAGCCGCAGGACCUCACGCACUUUGAAUGUAUCAGUCUGCUGCCUUCUGGCCACCAAAGUGUAUGAUGAGAAAUUUGCUGAUAAUUUUAUUGAGGAUCCCUUGUAUAUGUGAUCAAUUGCUGAUACAGAAAACAACAGAAGACCCUAUUGGAGGACAUGCCACCCAGAGCUAGUCUACAUGUUGCGCCUCAGUGUCAUUUCAUGACCAGAGUAUCAGUUCCAAGGACAGCCAUGGAAACUGAGCCAGUUUCCAGUUCCAAGAUGGUCGAAUAGGAACAGCUCCAGUCUGCAGCUCCCAGCAUGAUUGACACAGAAGACGGUGAUUUCUGCAUUUCCAACUGAGGUACCUGGUUCAUCUCACUGGGACUGGUUGGACAGUGGGUACAGACCAUGGAGGGCGAGCUGACCCAGGGCAGGCAUCGUCUCACUUGGGAAGCACAAGGGGUCAUGGGAUUUCCCUUUCCUAGCCAAGGGAAGCCAUGACAGACUAUACUUGGAAAAUCGGGACACUCCCACCCAAAAAACUGCGAUUUUCCAAUGGUCUUAGCAAACGGCACACCAGGAGAUUAUAUCCCACACAUGGCUCAGCAGGUCCCAUGCCCAUGGAGCCUUGCUCACUGCUAGUGCAGCACAAGAUUGAACUGCAAGGCAGCAGCCUGGCAGGGGGAGGGGCGUCCACCAUUGCUAAGGCUUGAGUAGGUAAAGUGGCCUGGGAAGCUCGAACUGGGCAGAACCCACUACAGCUCUGCGAGGCCUGCUGCCUCUGUAGACUCCACCUCUGGGGGCAGGGCAUACCUGAAUAAAAGGCAGCAGAAACUUCUGCAGACUUAAACGUCCCUGUCUGAUAGCUCUGAAGAGAGCAGUGGUUCUCUCAGCAUGGUGUUUGAGCGCUGAGAACGAACAGACUGCCUCCUUACAUGGGUCCCUGACCCCCAUGUAGCCUAAAUGGGAGACACCUCC